CCGAGGUGUUCGGAUCCGCGCCUUGUCCCGCCGUGGUUCACAAGCAGUUUCGGGCGUCAUUUUGAGGAUUUUUUCCCCCUUUAUAAGGCAUUACAACCGGUGAUGGGAGGAGAGCGAAAUGUGCAGUACCUCCCGCGCUGUGAGCAGCGGCUGGUGCGACGCAGCUGGCAUAGGCAUUUGUCAGCAGGUGGCCAGAACGGAAUGUUACCGGAGUUAGAUGGGAUAUUAGUUUUCACGCAUGAAACGCAAGCUGGUCGUGACAUCGCGAAUCACCUACGAAGCACAGAAGACCAUGGUUGAGUACUUCAAGACCUGUUUUGUUCGUCGACGCUGUACGGACGUUGGGGACACAUCACUAUGAAGUUACUGAUUGUGGAUUUAUUUUAUGUGUGUUGGUGAUGCACAGUAUGCUUUCAAAACAUGUAAGUGCUGGAUUGAGUUUUUACUCUUGUUGUUCACUGUCUUGCUAGCGAUUUUUAACUGAUUGGUGAUUAUUCACACUUUUGAACAUGUGAAAUAUCUUUCACCUUUAUAUGUCCCACUUGUAAUAUUUUAAUAUCUACUGUAUUGUGAUGUACGAAGAAAUAAA